CCUACGGGAGGCAGCAGUGGGGAAUAUUGGACAAUGGGCGCAAGCCUGAUCCAGCCAUGCCGCGUGAGUGAUGAAGGCCUUAGGGUUGUAAAGCUCUUUCACCGAUGAAGAUAAUGACGGUAGUCGGAGAAGAAGCCCCGGCUAACUUCGUGCCACAGCCGCGGUAAU
rnacentral:rRNA from 1 species